UCUCUCUCUCUCUCUCUCUCUCUGUCAUUCUGAAUAUGUCUCUCUCUCUGUGUGUAUCUCCAAGUGUGUGUGUGUGUGUGUGUGUGUGUGUGUGUGUCUGAUCACAUUUGCCAUGUACAGAACUGACUAUUCAACUAUUACAGUGCAAGUAAGAAAAUAAAUAAUAUGUGGUAUCGAGUUCCUUCUCUUUAUUCAUAACUUUAUGCUGGAGUUUAUAUUAGGAUCGGGUAAGGAUUUGUAGGUUUCCUGUUUGCUUUGCGUGCGCGCUCUUGCGGCGUGCGCGUGCAUGUAACUGUGUUAGCAGUGAGAGGAGGGAAUGGAGUGAGAACAGGAGUAACUCGCUUUACUCCACAGCACUAAAGCUACUGAACACACAUCAUAGCAUGCUUAAUUUCUUCCUCACGCGCACUAUCGGCGGAUAAGACCAAAUAGUGCUCGGCUCCCUGUAUUAGUGCCCUCUGUAGGGGUUAACGCUGCGACGUGUCGUGCCCUACCUAGCACACUAGGUGAGUAAUUCAGCGCUAUUUGGAAUUCAGCCCGAGCCGAGGUCGAAUUGAGGCCUAAACUUGAAGCAAUUCAGUUGCAACUUUUUGUUGUUUUUCUUUUGAUUUGAUUUGAUUUGAUUUGAUUGACGGUUUGUUAUGAAGUUCGUGUUGAUUUUCUCUUUCAUCACCAGUUUCAUUCAGGCUUUGAGUUGGCAGACAUGUGGUGUUAAAAAGCUGGAAGAAGUUGUACGGGUGCAAUGGUCAGGUGUCCAUAAACUUUUGACCGUGUAACGUAUAUAAAAUUGCUCAUAAGGUCACUUGAGGCUCAUAAAAGUAAAUAAAAGCACAGGUUGUUUUCAGGAAACUCGCGGUGCUGAAGUCUCUUACACAGCACUGACACUGGAGACUCCUUCCAUGAAUGAUAAAUAAAUGCCUCCUCACACGUCCUUACAGAGUUACACACGUCCACCGUGCCACAAGUCACCGUGUAGGUCGUUACUAUAGAAACGAUAACGGUAGAACACUGGACAGGUAUAAACUCCUGUUCUACAGCUUUCUUUUAUUGCGACGUAAAAUAAUGUAGAAAUGAUUUUCUCGUCCUCCAUCGCUCCCCCCACUCUCUCUCUCUUUUUGUCUCUCUCUCUC
ensembl:lncRNA